AAAUGAAGCAAAAUCCCCUAGGAAAACACCCGCAGGAAAAGCUUGCCUGCGCGGACGCAGCACAAUGUGCUCGUGCGUGCGUGCAUGACUAGGUGCAGGACGUGCGCAUGUCCCAUCCACGUAAGGCACAGGGAGGGUUUGCGCCCUCAUCAUGUCAAACAUAGAUAAGCUAGUCUGCGUAUCACAUCAUGUUCGGACAGGGUCAGGCGCCACACCAUGUGCACAUACUGUCUGUGUAGUAGGCCUGCGCGAAUAGGCCUAUGCACCUGGGC
rnacentral:lncRNA from 1 species